rnacentral:rRNA from 1 species
UACGAAGGGGGCUAGCGUUGUUCGGAAUUACUGGGCGUAAAGCGUGCGCAGGUGGCUUUCCAAGUCAGUGGUGAAAGCCCGGAGCUCAACUCCGGAAUUGCCAUUGAAACUGUGAAGCUUGAGGACGAGAGAGGUGAGUGGAAUUCCCAGUGUAGAGGUGAAAUUCGUAGAUAUUGGGAAGAACACCGGUGGCGAAGGCGGCUCACUGGCUCGUUUCUGACACUCAGGCACGACAGCGUGGGGAUCAAAC